rnacentral:rRNA from 1 species
AGCAGCCGCGGUAAUUCCAGCUCCAAUAGCGUAUAUUAAAGUUGUUGUGGUUAAAAAGCUCGUAGUAGAACCUUGGGCCUGGCUGGCCGGUCCGCCUCACCGCGUGCACUGGUCCGGCCGGGCCUUUCCCUCUGUGGAACCGCAUGCCCUUCACUGGGUGUGCCGGGGAAACAGGACUUUUACUUUGAAAAAAUUAGAGUGCUCCAGGCAGGCCUAUGCUCGAAUACAUUAGCAUGGAAUAAUAGAAUAGGACGUGUGGUUCUAUUUUGUUGGUUUCUAGGACCGCCGUAAUGAUUAAUAGGGACAGUCGGGGGCAUCAGUAUUCAAUUGUCAGAGGUGAAAUUCUUGGAUUUAUUGAAGACUAACUACUGCGAAAGCAUUUGCCAAGGAUGUUUUCAUUUAUCAGGAACGAAAGUUAGGGGAUCGAAGACGAUCAGAUACCGUCGUAGUCUUAACCAUAAACUAUGCCGACUAGGGAUCGGACGAUGUUAUUUUUUGACUCGUUCGGCACCUUACGAGAAAUCAAAGUGCU